rnacentral:rRNA from 1 species
CCUACGGGAGGCAGCAGUGGGGAAUUUUGGACAAUGGGCGAAAGCCUGAUCCAGCAAUGCCGCGUGAGUGAAGAAGGCCUUCGGGUUGUAAAGCUCUUUUGUCAGGGAAGAAACGGUGAGGGCUAAUAUCCCUUGCUAAUGACGGUACCUGAAGAAUAAGCACCGGCUAACUACGUGCCAGCAGCCGCGGUAAUACGUAGGGUGCAAGCGUUAAUCGGAAUUACUGGGCGUAAAGCGUGCGCAGGCGGUUUUGUAAGUCUGUCGUGAAAGCCCCGGGCUCAACCUGGGAAUUGCGAUGGAGACUGCAAGGCUUGAAUCUGGCAGAGGGGGGUAGAAUUCCACGUGUAGCAGUGAAAUGCGUAGAGAUGUGGAGGAACACCGAUGGCGAAGGCAGCCCCCUGGGUCAAGAUUGACGCUCAUGCACGAAAGCGUGGGGAGCAAACAGGAUUAGAUACCCUGGUAGUCCACGCCCUAAACGAUGUCUACUAGUUGUCGGUUUUAAUUAACUUGGUAACGCAGCUAACGCGUGAAGUACGACCGCCGUGGGGGUACGUCGCAAGAUUAAAACNAAAUGAAUUGACGNUGAGAGNGCGAGACGACGACGAGGGAGGAGG